AGUGAACGCUGGCGGUAGGCCUAACACAUGCAAGUCGAACGGCAGCACAGUAAGAGCUUGCUCUUACGGGUGGCGAGUGGCGGACGGGUGAGGAAUACAUCGGAAUCUACUUUUUCGUGGGGGAUAACGUAGGGAAACUUACGCUAAUACCGCAUACGACCUACGGGUGAAAGCAGGGGAUCUUCGGACCUUGCGCGAUUGAAUGAGCCGAUGUCGGAUUAGCUAGUUGGCGGGGUAAAGGCCCACCAAGGCGACGAUCCGUAGCUGGUCCGAGAGGAUGAUCAGCCACACUGGAACUGAGACACGGUCCAGACUCCUACGGGAGGCAGCAGUGGGGAAUAUUGGACAAUGGGCGCAAGCCGGAUCCAGCCAUACCGCGUGGGUGAAGAAGGCCUUCGGGUUGUAAAGCCCUUUUGUUGGGAAAGAAAAGCAGCAGGUUAAUACCCCGCUGUUCUGACGGUACCUAAAGAAUAAGCACCGGCUAACUUCGUG
rnacentral:rRNA from 1 species